AUUGAACGCUGGCGGCAUGCCUUACACAUGCGAGUCGAACGGCAGCACGGGUGCUUGCACCUGGUGGCGAGUGGCGAACGGGUGAGUAAUACAUCGGAACAUGUCCUGUAGCGGGGGAUAGCCCGGCGAAAGCCGGAUUAAUACCGCAUACGAUCUACGGAUGAAAGCGGGGGACCUUCGGGCCUCGCGCUAUAGGGUUGGCCGAUGGCUGAUUAGCUAGUUGGUGGGGUAAAGGCCUACCAAGGCGACGAUCAGUAGCUGGUCUGAGAGGACGACCAGCCACACUGGGACUGAGACACGGCCCAGACUCCUACGGGAGGCAGCAGUGGGGAAUUUUGGACAAUGGGCGAAAGCCUGAUCCAGCAAUGCCGCGUGUGUGAAGAAGGCCUUCGGGUUGUAAAGCACUUUUGUCCGGAAAGAAAUCCUUGGCCCUAAUACGGUCGGGGGAUGACGGUACCGGAAGAAUAAGCACCGGCUAACUACGUG
rnacentral:rRNA from 1 species